rnacentral:rRNA from 1 species
ACGUCAAGUCCUCAUGGCCCUUACACCCUGGGCUACACACGUGCUACAAUGGCGGUGACAGUGGGCAGCUACUUCGCGAGAAGCGGCUAAUCCCAAAAAACCGUCCCAGUUCAGAUUGUACUCUGCAACUCGAGUACAUGAAGGUGGAAUCGCUAGUAAUCGCAGAACAGCAGGCUGCGGUGAAUACGUUCCCGGGCCUU